GUGUUGUUUGAAAGCAGAGUAGGUUAGCACUCCCCUUGACAAGGAUGAAAGAGGCCCUCGGGCCUGACAACAUGUAUAUGGUUAAGGCAUGGCCACCUACUUCGUGGCAUCUAACCACUUUUUUCA
rnacentral:ncRNA from 1 species